rnacentral:rRNA from 1 species
UUCUGGCUCAGGAUGAACGCAGCGACAGGCUAACACAUGCAAGUCGAGGGGCAGCAUAAAAGUAGCAAUACUUGGUGGCGACCGGCGCACGGGUGAGUAACGCGUAUGCAACCUACCUAUCAGAGGGGAAUAACCCGGCGAAAGUCGGACUAAUACCGCAUAAAACAGGGGCACCGCAUGGUGAUAUUUGUUAAAGAAAUUCGCUGAUAGAUGGGCAUGCGUUCCAUUAGGUAGUUGGUGAGGUAACGGCUCACCAAGCCGACGAUGGAUAGGGGAACUGAGAGGUUGGUCCCCCACACUGGUACUGAGACACGGACCAGACUCCUACGGGAGGCAGCAGUGAGGAAUAUUGGUCAAUGGGCGAGAGCCUGAACCAGCCAAGUCGCGUGGAAAAGGAAGAAGGAUCUAUGGUUCGUAAACUUCUUUUGCAGGGGAAUAAAGUGCAGGACGUGUCCUGUUUUGUAUGUACCCUGAGAAUAAGGAUCGGCUAACUCCGUGCCAGCCGCAGC